UUAAUUGAAGCCAAAAAGAGGCAUAUUACUGUUAAUAAUAUAAUUGAAUGAUAAUUAUUCCAAUUAAG
rnacentral:tRNA from 1 species